rnacentral:rRNA from 1 species
GACGAACGCUGGCGGCGUGCUUAACACAUGCAAGUCGAACGGAAAGGCCUGCUUUCCCUUGUGGAUUGCGGGUACUCGAGUGGCGAACGGGUGAGUAACACGUGAGUGAUCUGCCCCCAACUUGGGUAUAAGCCUGGGAAACUGGGUCUAAUUCCCGAUAGGACUGCAGGGUGGUGCCUGUGGUGGAAAACGAUUUUCUAGUGGUUGGGGAUGAGCUCGCGGCCUAUCGGCUUGUUGGUGGGGGAAUGGCCUACCAAGGCGGCGACGGGUAGCCGGCCUGGGAGGGUGGACGGCCACAUUGGGACUGAGCUACGGCCCAGACUCCUACGGGAGGCAGCCGUGGGGAAUAUUGCACAAUGGGCGGAAGCCUGAUGCAGCGACGCCGCGUGGGGGAUGACGGCCUUCGGGUUGUAAACUCCUUUCGACCGCGAGGAAGCCACCUGGUUGGAAGGGUGGUGACGGUAGUGGUAGAAGAAGCACCGGCUAACUACGUG